GCACGUAGUAGCUCCAGCACUCGAACCGGAAACGGCUGCAGCGGGUGGUUCUGCGUCUAGUGACCCAAGAUGGUGGCCUGCGAAGGCCAAUUUUAGUAUCGGCCCCCGUGCUUUUAGCUUAGAAAUACAUUUACAAAGCUGUGAUUGUGAAAAUACAUAAAACACCUGACAAGAUCAAAGCUGCAGGAGGAUGGACAGUGAGGUACAGCGAGAUGGAAGGAUCUUGGAUCUUAUUGACGACGCUUGGCGGGAGGACAAGCUGCCAUAUGAGGAUGUAGCGAUUCCACUGAGUGAGCUUCCUGAGCCUGAGCAAGACAACGGCGGCACCACAGAGUCUGUGAAAGAACAGGAGAUGAAGUGGACAGACCUGGCCUUGCAGGGCCUCCACGAGAACGUCCCACCCACUGGAAACUGAUGCUGGGCUCCUUCCCACAGAUGGGGUUUUCAAAAAUACACGGAUAAAAAUGUUUUCUCUGUCUCCAAACUCAGAUCUUUAGUAAUAAAUCAACACUCAAAAAAACAU
rnacentral:lncRNA from 1 species